rnacentral:rRNA from 1 species
UCACCCACCAACAGUGAACGUGAGCUGGUUUUAUAGCGUGUUGAGACAGGUUGGUUUUCCCCUCCUGCCGCGGCCGGUGAACCCGAAAGCACGGUUUGCUUUUAUGGACGGGUGUGACGACGGCAGCAUGUGGUAGUACGAGAGGAACCCUCAUGCCGCGGCCCUGGUUUCUACGGUCGGUCGAGCGACCGGUGCCGUGAUGCUACCACGCGAUGGAUACCGGCUGAACGCAUCUAAGUCCGAAUCCGGGACCCGGCGU